CUCGCGCCCACCCUGUACAGCUGCGCCUGCGCGCCCCAGCGCGGAGCAGCUCGGGAGUAUGGGACGUCCUUCAGGAUUUAAAUCAAUACAGGAAGCGAGGCGGCACUCGUUGCCCCGGGCAACCGUGGUCCGAAGAGCUGUCCGGGAAGCUGGAGACCAAGAGUGAAUGGGGGAAGGUGGGGGUGGACACGAAUACCUGGACUCGGAGGAAGGCGUGGCUCCAGUUUGGGGAAGAAAUGGGGCGCGUCUCCCUGAAGCUUUGAUUCACUCAACAAUCAGACAGGGGUGAUGGAGCCACAAGUUAUCCACUACUAGCUAACCAACACGAGCUGGUGAAGCAGAAAAACUCCUCUGAGGGGAGACGGGCCUGUAGCCUCACGGAUGAUGGACUUAUCACCACCACCGAAAAGCUGCUGAAGUCAUCGUUUCUGGGUCCUGGGCAGUAUUUUUUGGUAUCAGUUACUCCCAGGGCGGCCUCGGCAGUACGCCAAGGUCUGGCACACCAGCCUCAUUCUGAGUUCAUAUCUGCUUCCUACACCCCUGGGUCCAUCCCUUCCCAUUGGCUGGUAUGGGGGGCUGGAUCACACCUGGUAUCACCCGAUCCUGCGAUCUGCUCCAGCAACCACAGCCUUUCCUGAAGCUGUAAACAUUCGUUGGCGCUGUGCCUUGUGGCAAAGGUACCAGUGCUGUCUGUUCCUGCGGCCAUGUUUGUUAUUUAUUCUAUGCAUGUGCCGGGCAUGGAUGGAGGCAUUUCUUCAAGCUCUCUGUCUUAUGUUUUGAGAACUGGUCUCUCACUCGACCUGGGGCUCACCCAUUGGAGCAGGCCGGUGGGCCAGUGUGUUCCUGGCAUUCUCCUGCCUCCGCACACACCUCACCUGGGAAAGCCAGCUUUCAGAGCCCACAGGAUGUAGGUGGACAUUUGUGAUCUGUGGUCCCAGGACUCAGGAGCAGUGUCCCAUGUUGGAGGCCAGCCCUGGUCUGCAGAGCAAGAUGCUGGUCUCAACAACAAGCAUCCAAAGGAAAAAUCCAACCAAGAAAUGAGAAGGUGCAUCUGGGCCUGGCAGUGCCAACUCCACUGUGCUUUCCCACCCACACUGCUUGCCCAUGGAGGACUGUCUAUAAAAGAGCUGCAGCUCAGCGUGGAUGGGGUUUUCACUGAUAUUUUAAGGCAGGUUUUUACUGUAUAGUUCUAGCUGGAACUUGUGUAGACCUGGCCUCGAACUCACACAGCUCCACCUGCCUCUGCCUCCCAAGUGCUGUGAUUUAAAGAUGUGAGGCAGCGUGCCCAGUUAUUAAAUGUUUUAAAAAUUAA
rnacentral:sRNA from 1 species